GCCGCGGGGUCUGCAGGCCUGGCCGGCCUGGCUUUCGGGACGCGCCGGGCUGGUAGCCCCGGAUCUGACCCUCCAAGAAAGGCCCGGUGACCUUGGCCCGGCUGUGGGUUCGAAUCCGCAUUCCCAACUGACUGGCUAUGUGACCUUGGGUCGGGCCCGUCGCCCGAGCCCAGGUGACUCAAUGGGACGAGAAUAACCCGCCUCCGUGGGUUGGGCGAGUUCCGGAGGGCGUCUGGAAAGCGCUGGACCCGGCGGCGGUCGGUCGGGGUCCGCUCUGGGCCAGGGGACCGCCGCGAGCCGGCAGACCUGGCAGUUAGCUUAGAACCCCCGGCCUGGAGGCGCCCUUCCGAGCUCGCCCUCUCCCUGCGGCCCCGUGCAGUCGUCGCCUGGACUCUUGGGGCCCUGCUGCCCUGCAAAGCGCCGGAGCAGUCCAGCCAUUUCUCACGAUCUUGAACUCAUCCACCGCACAGGCCACGAACCCCGGCAGACCCUCCCGGGCCUUCCAGUGGGGCCUUUCCGCCUGGACCCUCCUUCCUGGGCCCCUUGCCCAUCUUCAGCAAGCCCCAGGGACAUGAGGAUGAGCCAGGAACAGGUGCUCUGGUGCUCCGUGGGAAGCCCUCGCUGGUGUCCUCAAGUAGAAGUGAGCCGGCGGUACACGGAACCUUAGCAAACUGCAGCACUGCUUUGACCCAGCUUGUGUGCCGUCGGACUAAGGACCAGGGGCUUCACUUCCUUGCAGAGGAAGAUGUCAAGUCUCUACAACUGUUUUAAGGCACAAGUUCAGCUUUCAGUGAAAAUUUUCUGGGUAUGUCAAGGCACAGGUCAUUUUACUGAAGAACAAUUCAGAGGUAGUCUAAGACUAUGCAAUAAUUAUAAUUAAUAUGUUCAAGAAAAUAGAGGAAAAGGUGUAAAAAAUAGAUGAAAGAACGGAGUAUUGAAAUCUAAUAAACUGGAACUGAAAAAGUGACCGAAAUUAGGACUUCAAUAAAUUAAUAGAUUGAGACAUAAAGGAUUAAUGAUUUCGAUAAUGCAAUGGAGUUCCCGUUGUGGCUCAGCAGUAACGACCCCAACUAGUAUCCAUGAGGAUGCAGGUCCAGUCCCUGGCCUUGCUCAGUGGGUUAAGAUCCGCUGUUGCUGUGAACUGUGGUGUGUGCUGUGGGUGUGGCCCUAAAACACAGAGACCAAACAAAACAAACAAAAUCUGGCAAAACAAAGUAAGACAUGUGCAAGGAAGACACAAUAACCACGGCAGAUUUACCCAAGAAGCGCACAGCGGGUGUGCAUGGGAGAAAUCAAGUGUGACACAGUAACUGAUCCGAAAGGGGAAACUGUCUCGGGGAGAAAAGACCCCGUGGUGGCCAUGGCUCCACUGUGACCGAACAAGACAUGAGAGACAAACCUGACUGGGAGAGGAACCUCCCUUUCAUGUCAGCCAUCUAACAAGACCCUACAGCAAACAUGUCUUGCUGAAAAUGCUAACACACAAAGCUUCCCA
rnacentral:lncRNA from 1 species